GACGAACGCUGGCGGCGUGCUUAACACAUGCAAGUCGAACGGUGAAGCGCCUUCCUUUUUGGUGGGUGUGGAUGAGUGGCGAACGGGUGAGUAACACGUGAGUAACCUGCCCCCUUCUUCUGGAUAACCGCAUGAAAGUGUGGCUAAUACGGGAUAUUCUGGGUCUGUCGCAUGAUGGGUCUGGGAAAGAUAUUGUUUCGGUGGGGGAUGGGCUCGCGGCCUAUCAGCCUGUUGGUGGGGUGAUGGCCUACCAAGGCGGUGACGGGUAGCCGGCCUGAGAGGGUGGACGGUCACACUGGGGCUGAGACACGGCCCAGACUCCUACGGGGGGCAGCAGUGGGGAAUAUUGCACAAUGGGCGCAAGCCUGAUGCAGCGACGCCGCGGGAGGGGUGGAGGCCUUCGGGUUGUGAACCUCUUUCGCCAGUGAAGCAGGCCUGCCUCGUUUGUGGGUGGAUUGACGGUAGCUGGAAAAGAAGCGCCGGCUAACUACGUG
rnacentral:rRNA from 1 species